GGCUAAAUACUCCUGACUGACCGAUAGUGAACCAGUACCGUGAGGGAAAGGCGAAAAGAACCCCGGCGAGGGGAGUGAAAAAGAACCUGAAACCGUGUACGUACAAGCAGUGGGAGCACGCUUAGGCGUGUGACUGCGUACCUUUUGUAUAAUGGGUCAGCGACUUAUAUUCUGUAGCAAGGUUAACCGAAUAGGGGAGCCGAAGGGAAACCGAGUCUUAACUGGGCGUUAAGUUGCAGGGUAUAGACCCGAAACCCGGUGAUCUAGCCAUGGGCAGGUUGAAGGUUGGGUAACACUAACUGGAGGACCGAACCGACUAAUGUUGAAAAAUUAGCGGAUGACUUGUGGCUGGGGGUGAAAGGCCAAUCAAACCGGGAGAUAGCUGGUUCUCCCCGAAAGCUAUUUAGGUAGCGCCUCGUGAAUUCAUCUCCGGGGGUAGAGCACUGUUUCGGCAAGGGGGUCAUCCCGACUUACCAACCCGAUGCAAACUGCGAAUACCGGAGAAUGUUAUCACGGGAGACACACGGCGGGUGCUAACGUCCGUCGUGAAGAGGGAAACAACCCAGACCGCCAGCUAAGGUCCCAAAGUCAUGGUUAAGUGGGAAACGAUGUGGGAAGGCCCAGACAGCCAGGAUGUUGGCUUAGAAGCAGCCAUCAUUUAAAGAAAGCGUAAUAGCUCACUGGUCGAGUCGGCCUGCGCGGAAGAUGUAACGGGGCUAAACCAUGCACCGAAGCUGCGGCAGCGACACUAUGUGUUGUUGGGUAGGGGAGCGUUCUGUAAGCCUGUGAAGGUGUGCUGUGAGGCAUGCUGGAGGUAUCAGAAGUGCGAAUGCUGACAUAAGUAACGAUAAAGCGGGUGAAAAGCCCGCUCGCCGGAAGACCAAGGGUUCCUGUCCAACGUUAAUCGGGGCAGGGUGAGUCGACCCCUAAGGCGAGGCCGAAAGGCGUAGUCGAUGGGAAACAGGUUAAUAUUCCUGUACUUGGUGUUACUGCGAAGGGGGGACGGAGAAGGCUAUGUUGGCCGGGCGACGGUUGUCCCGGUUUAAGCGUGUAGGCUGGUUUUCCAGGCAAAUCCGGAAAAUCAAGGCUGAGGCGUGAUGACGAGGCACUACGGUGCUGAAGCAACAAAUGCCCUGCUUCCAGGAAAAGCCUCUAAGCAUCAGGUAACAUCAAAUCGUACCCCAAACCGACACAGGUGGUCAGGUAGAGAAUACCAAGGCGCUUGAGAGAACUCGGGUGAAGGAACUAGGCAAAAUGGUGCCGUAACUUCGGGAGAA
rnacentral:rRNA from 1 species